rfam:Dipodomys ordii contig_56793, whole genome shotgun sequence.
GGUGGUUCAGUGGUAGAGCACUUGCCUUGCAUGCAUAAGGCCCUGGGUUCGAUUCCUCAGCACCA